GGUUAACUUAAACAACUAAACUUACAAACAUAGAAGGGCAAUCUCGCAACAAAAAAAAAACAUGUCAGGAAAGUCGUCUUGGCCAGAGUUGGUGGGGAGGGAUGCGGAGGAAGCAGUGAAGAUAAUACAACAAGAGAAUCCUUCUCUCGAUGUAAUUCUAAUGCCACGAGGCCAAAACUUCGCAACUCUUGAUUAUAGGGAAAAUCGAGUCCGAGUCUUUAAUGACAAUAAUGGAAACGUGAGUUCGAUCCCUCGAAUUGGCUAAACACCCUUGACAAUAUGUAACACCUUACUACUUGAAUAAAAUAAAUUAAGGUGUGUUUCUCAGCUUAA